rnacentral:rRNA from 1 species
GACGAACGCUGGCGGCGUGCGUAACACAUGCAAGUCGAACGGAAAGGCCUGCUUUCCCUUGUGGAUUGCGGGUACUCGAGUGGCGAACGGGUGAGUAACACGUGAGUGAUCUGCCCCCAACUUGGGUAUAAGCCUGGGAAACUGGGUCUAAUUCCCGAUAGGACUGCAGGGUGGUGCCUGUGGUGGAAAACGAUUUUCUAGUGGUUGGGGAUGAGCUCGCGGCCUAUCAGCUUGUUGGUGGGGUAAUGGCCUACCAAGGCGGCGACGGGUAGCCGGCCUGAGAGGGUGGACGGCCACAUUGGGACUGAGAUACGGCCCAGACUCCUACGGGAGGCAGCAGUGGGGAAUAUUGCACAAUGGGCGGAAGCCUGAUGCAGCGACGCCGCGUGGGGGAUGACGGCCUUCGGGUUGUAAACUCCUUUCGACCGCGAGGAAGCCACCUGGUUGGAAGGGUGGUGACGGUAGUGGUAGAAGAAGCACCGGCUAACUACGUG